GUCGGUGUGGCUCAGUUGGUUAGAGCGUUGGUCUCAUAGAUCAGUAAAUAUGAUUUGGCCUCAGGUCAGAGUAAUCCAAAGGUCGAGAGUUCGAGCCUCUCCACCGACA